rnacentral:lncRNA from 1 species
UGUUAGUUAUGAAGCAAGAAGACCUCCAUUGCUGUAUGAGUAUUCAAGGAGGAAGAAAAGCAGUCAGCAGAAGAUGACAAAUGAGCAGAGUGACGUGGCACGGGAGGGCACUUGAGUAGUACGGUUACGAGGAGGAAGGGAAUAAGGAAUAAAGAGGUGAGCUGGAGGUUGGCACCAACGGCCCACGUGAUAUGUUUGCUACCUAGGAACCUUUUAUUUAUAUGCGAGUAUCAUGUAUUGAGAGAGCAUCUAGAGAUUGGAUCAAACUUGUAUGAGGGAGAGAGAGACCCUAAGAUACUCUCUGGCUUGUAUUUCGAUCCGUUAAACACAUCAAUACAACUUAUCUUUCUUUCUAAGAGUAUCUCAUAACAACUUGGUAUCAGAGCCUUCUUACUUUACUGGGAAUCGAUGGCUCCAGGGAAGAAAGCUGAGCUUGACGCUACGUUGGAGAACCUGAGAGAUGAGGUGAACAAGAUCGGUGUUGUGGAACGAUCGAUGGAAGAUCUCAAGGAGAGUGUGAUGGAGAUCCGAAACCGAAUGAGUGUGAUGGAGCGGUUGGAGAAACGUUUGGAUGAGACGGAAGAGACGAGAAAGAGGGAGUUUGCGACGUUGUUCCAAGCAACGUUGCAAAGUCACAUGGAGGAAGAGAUCUCGCCUCCGAUAAGACGAUCCGGCAAACAGAUCGCUUCUGAAGAGGAGGGAAGCGGUCUAUUUCGCGGCGGGACGUCGGGGGUAAGGUCUGAGUCUGUUACGAGGGUCGGAGAAGUGAGACGAGAGGUGGAGUGUGAAGAACGCAACCGAUCGUUGAGCCGAAACGACCAACAGUGGCAACAUAACGAGCUGGGGCCCGAUGACUUGCCAAGGAAGUUGAAGAUCCCACUCUUUGAUGGAGAAAACGCGGAGAGUUGGGUCUUGCGGGUGGAGCAGUAUUUCGAACUGGGCGAUUUUCCGGAGGAACGGAAGAUGAGGGUGGUCAGAAUGUGUUUUGACGGCGAGGCGUUGAUGUGGUAUCGUUGGGAACGAGAUCGUAACCCAUUCGUGAGCUGGGAUCAGAUGAGAUACAGAGUUCUGGAGCAGUUCUCUACUAAUCAUGAGAUCACGGCACGAGAGCGGUUGAUGACGUUGAAGCAGGUGGGGACGGUGAGAGAGUACAUAAAGGAUUUCAUCUCGCUCGCGUCGAACGCUCCAGAGCUUUCCGAUGCUGUGUUGGAGACGGCAUUCAUGAUUGGGUUAAAACCACAGAUCAAGGCCGGCGUGAAGCUGAUGGAGCCGCGGAACUUAAGAAAGAUGAUGAGUGUAGCAAAAUUGGUGGAGGAAUGGGUGAAUUACGGUGACCCAUCGCCGUCGUCGCAAACCGGAAAGGGGGUUAAGGGAGGGGGUCAAACGGGGUCGUCUCCAUUUCCGUCACGAAGUGGGCCUAGUUUGGGAAAUGGGCCUGGGUCUACUAACAAUCAGCGGCCUAAAACAUUUCCAGGCCAGGAGAAGACCGUUGGGGCAGAGAAGAAACCGACGACCCAGAACCCUAACUUCAAUGGGCGGAAUCGAGCUCCGUUCCGGCGUCUCUCUCCGGCGGAGUACGCGAGGUAUAAGGCAGAGGGGUUGUGCUUCCAGUGUGGGGAGAAGUCACACGCGAGGCGCGACUGCCCUAAUAAGGAGUUGAUGGUACUGGUGGUGCAGGAGGAUGAAGGCGAGGAGGCGGAGCAGUUUGAGGAAGAUGAGAAAGACGAGGAGGAGGCGGUGGAAUUCGCAGAAUGCGCCGCUCUAUCCACAAAAUCGGCAAUGGGAAUCUCAUCUCCCAAGACAAUCAAGUUGCGCGGUUCAGUGGGAGAGGCUGAGGCGGUGGUACUCAUUGACAGCGGGGCUACCCACAAUUUUAUCGAUUGCCGGCUGAUGCAAAAGUUAGGGCUCGUGGCGGAGGAAACCCAGAGUUAUGGAGUGAUCACGGGGUCGGGAAAGCCGGUCAGGGGAGGAGGCAUUUGUAGAAACGUAACACUGACAAUGCAAGGCUACUCGAUUACGUCUGAUUUCCUUCCCUUAGAGCUCAACAACGUCGAUAUAAUACUGGGCAUUCAGUGGCUCGAGACGCUUGGAGAAACAAGAGUUAACUGGAAGCUGCAGACUCUGAAAAUUCCAGUGGAGGGUAGAUUGGUGUCGCUUCAAGGGGUUCCAAACUUGUGUAGCUCGGAGGUGUCGUGCAAAGCUAUGCAAAGGUUGCUGGAACAAGCUGAAGUGAGUGUAGUGGUCGAAUGUCGAGAAGUAGUGGCGGAGUUGAAAGGGAAGGCGGAGUAUUCCGGACAAAUGCAGGGACUACUGUCUCAAUUCCAACAAGUGUUCCAAGAGCCGCAAGGCUUACCACCAACUAGAGGGAGGGAGCAUGCGAUCAACCUGGUUCAGGGGAGUAAUCCGGUGAGUGUGAGGCCCUUCCGCUAUCCUCACGCUCAGAAGGAGGAGAUUGAGAAGCAAGUGACUACGAUGCUGAAGGCGGGAAUUAUCCAAGAAAGCAUCAGUCCGUUCUCCAGUCCGGUAUUACUAGUCAAAAAAAAGGAUGGCAGUUGGCGCUUCUGUGUAGACUAUCGGUCUCUCAACAAGGUUACGGUAUUGGACAGUUACCCGAUACCAAUGAUAGACCAGCUAUUGGAUGAGUUGCGUGGGGCGAGGGUGUUUUCCAAGCUAGACUUACGCUCAGGAUAUCAUCAGAUACGGGUCAAGACUGACGAUAUCCCGAAGACGGCCUUUCGUACUCACGACGGGCACUACGAGUUCCUUGUAAUGCCGUUUGGGCUGUCUAACGCACCCGCCACGUUCCAGUCUCUUAUGAAUGAGAUAUUUCGGCCUUAUCUAAGGAGAUUUGUGCUGGUGUUCUUCGAUGACAUACUGGUCUUCAGUAGGAAUCAACAAGAACAUAUGGAGCAUGUGAGGGUUGUCUUGGAAACGCUUCAACAGCACCGGCUAUACGCUAAUUUGAAGAAAUGUGAGUUUGGCUGCACUAGCAUCGAGUACUUGGGCCAUGUUAUUUCGGCGGAGGGGGUGGCAGCUGAUAAACGCAAGGUGGAGGCGAUGACAGACUGGCCAGUGCCUCGCAGUGUGAAGGAACUGAGAGGGUUUUUGGGGCUCACGGGGUAUUACCGAAAAUUUGUGAAGGACUAUGGAAUCAUUGCUAGACCCUUGACGGAGCUACUUAAAAAGGAUCGUUUUGGAUGGAGCGUAGUGGCAGAGGUGGCGUUCUCUGCGUUGAAGGAAGCUAUGUCAACGGUACCAGUUCUGGCCUUACCAGACUUCCAGGAGCAGUUUGUCGUGGAGUCAGAUGCAUCAGGCAAGGGACUGGGAGCUGUACUCAUGCAGAACCAGAGACCUAUAGCGUACUAUAGCCAAGCUCUGUCAGAGAGACAGCAGCUCAAGUCAGUAUAUGAACGUGAGCUGAUGGCCAUAGUGUUCGCAAUUCAGAAGUGGCGACACUAUCUACUAGGGAGAAAAUUCCUUGUUCGAACAGACCAGAAGAGCCUCAAGUUUCUGUUGGAACAACGCGAGAUCAACUUGGAAUAUCAAAAGUGGUUAACGAAGCUCCUAGGCUUCGACUUUGAUAUACAGUACAAACCUGGGUUGGAGAAUAAAGCAGCGGAUGCUCUAUCUAGAAGAGGUGUAGCAGCAGAGUUGUUGGCACUAUCAGUUCCUACGGCUAUUCAGUUUCAAGAUAUCGAGAAGGAGUUGGCUCUAGAUCCAAUACUACAGAAGCUGAAAGAGGAGAUUGUAGCUAACAAGGGGGAACAUAAGGAGUAUGAAGUCGUACAAGGGAGGUUGAUGCGUCGGGGAAAACUGGUGCUACCUAAGGACUCCCCACUGAUUGGGAUAAUUAUGAGGGAACUCCAUGAUGGGCUCAUGGGAGGUCACGGAGGGGUGCAACGCACGCAGAAGGAAGUCAGUGACAUGUUUUAUUGGGUGGGAAUGAUGAGUGACAUAAGGAAGUAUGUAGCCGCAUGUUCAGUCUGUCAGCGGCACAAGUACUCAACGUUGGCACCAGGAGGACUGCUGCAACCACUAGCUAUUCCAGAAGCAGUUUGGGAGGAUAUUGCUAUGGAUUUCGUGGAAGGGCUGCCCAGAUCAGAAGGGUUUAAUGCGAUACUAGUAGUCAUUGAUCGACUUUCUAAGUAUGCGCAUUUCAUCAAGCUGCGACAUCCUUUCACCGCAACAGAAGUAGCAUUAUUGUUUGUGCAAGAAGUGGUGAAGCUACACGGGUUUCCGAAAACCAUCGUCUCAGACCGGGAUAAGGUAUUCACCAGUCAGUUCUGGAAGGAGCUGUUUCGACUAGCAGGGACGUCGUUAUGUAUGAGCACAGCUUAUCAUCCGCAGACUGACGGCCAAACAGAGGUGACAAACAGGGGCUUAGAAACAUACCUUCGAUGCUACACGAGUGACAAACCCAAGGCAUGGGCAAAGUUUUUACCGUGGGCGGAACUUUGUUAUAACUCAUCAUUUCACUCAGCUAUCAAGAUGACUCCGUUCAAAGCAGUCUAUGGUCGUGAUCCUCCAUUUCUUCUCAAGUAUGAGCAAGGAUCGACCACAAACGCGGACCUUGAGAGUAAACUGAUUGAGCGAGAUGAUAUGUUAUCUCUGCUACGGGAGCACAUUGGUCACGCUCAGCAAGUGAUGAAGCGACAGGUUGAUGGGCACCGCAGGGAGGUAGUGUUUGAGGUCGGAGAUAAGGUGUAUCUGAAGCUCAGGCCUUACCGUCAACAGACACUGGCAAGAAGAGCUAAUGAGAAACUGUCAGCGCGUUUUUACGGACCAUAUGAGAUCACAGCAAGAGUGGGUAAGGUCGCUUAUCGUCUUAAGCUACCGGAGGAGGCUAAAAUUCAUCCUACUUUUCACGUCUCUCAGUUGAAAAAAGCCAUUGGAGAGGACAACCCAGUUGCUCCACUACCAUCUCAGUUGACCACGGAAGGGGUGUUGGUGGCUCAACCAGAAAAGGUAUUGGGAACACGGGUGAGCCCUCUGACGGGCCAAGAUGAGUUGCUGAUUCAGUGGAAAGGUCUGCCUGAGUAUGAGAGUUCGUGGGAGUGGAAGAAAGUGAUACAGGGACAGUUUCCGGAGUUUGACCUUGAGGACAAGGUCAAUUUCGCAGAAGGGAGUAAUGUUAGUUAUGAAGCAAGAAGACCUCCAUUGCUGUAUGAGUAUUCAAGGAGGAAGAAAAGCAGUCAGCAGAAGAUGACAAAUGAGCAGAGUGACGUGGCACGGGAGGGCACUUGAGUAGUACGGUUACGAGGAGGAAGGGAAUAAGGAAUAAAGAGGUGAGCUGGAGGUUGGCACCAACGGCCCACGUGAUAUGUUUGCUACCUAGGAACCUUUUAUUUAUAUGCGAGUAUCAUGUAUUGAGAGAGCAUCUAGAGAUUGGAUCAAACUUGUAUGAGGGAGAGAGAGACCCUAAGAUACUCUCUGGCUUGUAUUUCGAUCCGUUAAACACAUCAAUACAACUUAUCUUUCUUUCUAAGAGUAUCUCAUAACAAGGAGUUCUGAUAGCCGACAACUCAGCCUCUUCCUUCUCAACUAAAGCAUCCAAGUCUGAACAUUUUUGCUUCAGUUCAAGUAAAUUAUCCUCCAUCUCUUGGAGCCUGACCAAACUGGACUGCUCUUUGCCCUUGUUUGCUUUUACCAAGUCCAGUUUCUUCUCCAACCAAGCCACAUUAAAAUGCACAGAUUUCAAGUAUGCAAGUGCAGUGUCUGCUCCCAAAAUAUCAUUACUGGAGAGCUC